rnacentral:tRNA from 1 species
CUAGAGGGACGGGCAUCGAACCCGUAUUUAAGAAAUCAAAAUCCUUCGUACUCCAUUUACUACCCCU